UACGUAGGGUGCAAGCGUUGUCCGGAAUUAUUGGGCGUAAAGAGCUCGUAGGCGGUCUGUCGCGUCUGCUGUGAAAACCUGGGGCUUAACCCCGGGCCUGCAGUGGGUACGGGCAGACUAGAGUGCGGUAGGGGAGACUGGAAUUCCUGGUGUAGCGGUGAAAUGCGCAGAUAUCAGGAAGAACACCCGUGGCUAAGGCGGCUCUCUAGUACGGUACUGACGCUGAGACGCGAAAGCGUGGGGAGCGAACAGG
rnacentral:rRNA from 1 species